CUCCUACGGGGGGCAGCAGUAGGGAAUAUUAGAAAUGGACGAAAGUCUGAUCUAGCAACACCGCGUGUGCGAAGAAGGCCUUCGGGUCGUAAAGCACUUUUUGGAAGGAAUAGGAAGGAAUGUACUUCCAGAAUAAGUCUCGGCUAACUACGUGCCAGCAGCCGCGGUAACACGUAGGAGGCAAACGUUAUCCGGAUUUACUGGGCGUAAAGCGCGUGUAGGUGGUACUGUAAGUAGGGCGUGAAAGCUCCUGGCUCAACUGGGAGAGGCCGUUCUAAACUACAGAACUAGAGGAUGGUAGAGGGAGGUGGAAUUCCAGGUGUAGCGGUGGAAUGCGCAGAUAUCUGGAGGAACACCGGUGGCGAAGGCGGCCUCCUGGACCAUUCCUGACACUCAGACGCGAAAGCUAGGGUAGCAAACGGGAUUAGAUACCCCGGUAGUC
rnacentral:rRNA from 1 species